rnacentral:rRNA from 1 species
GAUGAACGCUGGCGGCGUGCCUAACACAUGCAAGUCGAGCGAAGCGCCUUACUUGAUUUCUUCGGGAUGAAAGUAUUGUGACUGAGCGGCGGACGGGUGAGUAACGCGUGGAUAACCUGCCUCAUACAGGGGGAUAACAGUUAGAAAUGACUGCUAAUACCGCAUAAGACCACAGCACCGCAUGGUGCAGGGGUAAAAACUCCGGUGGUAUGAGAUGGAUCCGCGUCUGAUUAGCUAGUUGGUAAGGUAACGGCUUAUCAAGGCGACGAUGCGUAGCCGACCUGAGAGGGUGACCGGCCACACUGGGACUGAGACACGGCCCAG